AACGCUAGCGGCAGGCUUAACACAUGCAAGUCGAGGGGUAACAUUGUGCUUGCACAGAUGACGACCGGCGAACGGGUGCGUAACGCGUAUAGAAUCUACCUCUUACUAAGGGAUAGCCCAGAGAAAUUUGGAUUAAGACCUUAUAGUAUAUAAGACUGGCAUCAGUUUUGUAUUAAAGAUUACGGUAAGAGAUGACUAUGCGUCCUAUUAGCUAGAUGGUGUGGUAACGGCACACCAUGGCAACGAUAGGUAGGGGCCCUGAGAGGGGGAUCCCCCACACUGGUACUGAGACACGGACCAGACUCCUACGGGAGGCAGCAGUGAGGAAUAUUGGACAAUGGAGGCAACUCUGAUCCAGCCAUGCCGCGUGCAGGACGACUGCCCUAUGGGUUGUAAACUGCUUUUAUACAGGAAGAAACCCUGCUACGUGUAGCAGCUUGACGGUACUGUAAGAAUAAGGAUCGGCUAACUCCGUGCCAGCAGCCGCGGUAAUACGGAGGAUCCAAGCGUUAUCCGGAAUCAUUGGGUUUAAAGGGUCCGUAGGUGGAUAAUUAAGUCAGAGGUGAAAUCCUGCAGCUCAACUGUAGAAUUGCCUUUGAUACUGGUUAUCUUGAGUUAUUAUGAAGUAGUUAGAAUAUGUAGUGUAGCGGUGAAAUGCAUAGAUAUUACAUAGAAUACCAAUUGCGAAGGCAGAUUACUAAUAAUAUACUGACACUGAUGGACGAAAGCGUGGGGAGCGAACAGGAUUAGAUACCCUGGUAGUCCACGCCGUAAACGAUGGUCACUAGCUGUUCGAACUUCGGUUUGAGUGGCUAAGCGAAAGUGAUAAGUGAC
rnacentral:rRNA from 1 species